rnacentral:rRNA from 1 species
UACGGGGGGGGGCAAGCGUUGUUCGGAAUUACUGGGCGUAAAGGGCUCGUAGGCGGCCAACUAAGUCAGACGUGAAAUCCCUCGGCUUAACCGGGGAACUGCAUCUGAUACUGGAUGGCUUGAGGUUGGGAGAGGGAUGCGGAAUUCCAGGUGUAGCGGUGAAAUGCGUAGAUAUCUGGAGGAACACCGGUGGCGAAGGCGGCAUCCUGGACCAAUUCUGACGCUGAGUGAGCGAAAGCCAGGGGAGCAAACGGG